rnacentral:rRNA from 1 species
ACAAUACUAUGGAAUUCCUCAAAAUUGGCUAAGUCUGAGGACUGUUCAGUUUUUUUUAAACUCCACUGGGCUGUUGUCUGAAGGCUAUAAUUAAUGUUAUGUAGUUCUAAUGAAGACACUGCAUAUAUGUGUUUUACUCUACAUCAACAGUAGUACAAGGCCAUGCCAUUAGAUGGCCUGAACAGCUCCUAUAACAGGUCCAUUUACAGCUGUGAAGUAGUUAAGACACUAAAUCUGUUUUUAAGUUUUCUCUCUUAACAGAAUAUAGACUUUUGUCAUUUUUAUAGGAACUAAUCCAUGCCGUAUUUGAAUUUGGUCCAAUGGAGUAACUUGGACCUUGUCAAGCAUACUUUGUACUCAUAUUUUCUUUAGCCUUGUUAACAGUUGUCUAACCGCUGUUUAGGGACUGUCUAAAGGGUUAGUCGUUGUAGAUUUAUAAAAGCUAGCUCGCCGCUAGUAGCAGCGUUACAGCAAGCAGCGGCGCUCGGGGCAGCGAUGCAGUAGGAGCAGCAGUGAGCAGACGCAGCAACAGCAAGCAGGUGAGGGUGUGGCCAGUCGGAGGCGGGCUCGGUCAGAGGCACACACACAUUCACUGCACGUACACACACACAGCACGCACACAUGCUGCACACUAACAUAGCACACACAGGCACGGGCGCUGGCCAUGGUCGGCCGCAGCAGCGGCGUAGAGCAGUAGCAGUACAGGGGAGCAACAACGGCAGCUAGCAAGAGCCGGCGGCACAGCAGCGGCUACAAGCAGCAGUGGCGAAACUACGAGCGGCGAGUAGGGAGGGGGAAAUCGGAGGCACGGCGAGGGCAGAAGGUCGGGGCGCGCGGGCGCUUGCGUGAUCGCGCUGCCAGGGCGUGGCGGGGUGUGGCCCGACGCACCAGGAGGGUCGGAGGUGUGCACGCGCAGGCGCGAAUCCCCGGCGCAGACAUGGCGAGAGCGCGACGGCGCUGCACGCGUGCGGGCCAGGGGGCGCGAGCGUACGGCCACGCAUGGCCAAGCGUGCACGGGAGCGUGGCCGGGCGGGCGCCGCAUGGUCCAGAGCGCGAGCCCCUGGUGCGGUGGUGCGGCGAACUAAGAUGGCUGAGAACGGAAGGGAAAGGGCGAAACUAGAGGGGGAACAUCUCACAGCGAUGCUCGGGCGUUUCGGGACGGGUCGGGGAGGCCGGAAGAGGUCGAGCAUCGAUGGGUCAACGGCGGGGAUCCUGGACGACCGACGGUGAAGAAGACCCCGAUGGCGAGGCUGGAGGCGUUCCGGCGACGAACCCGUCGGAGGGUGGUGUCCAGCGUGAUGCACUGGUCCUCCUGGGCAUGGAGUCAAGAUGAUGGGCAUCUGACGUCCAUGGGAUCGACGGUGAGCAUGGCGACGGGUUUGUGGUGGAGCUCUAGAUCGAGCGCACGGGCAAAGGGAAAGGGGGAUGUGAGGUCUAGGGUUUGUGCGCUGGCUCGGGGUCGGCCUUAUCUCCCCCGGAGCUCGGGUGGAUGCCCGACGUGUGUGUAUCGUCG